rnacentral:rRNA from 1 species
GGGUUGUGAGGUUAAGCGACUAAGCGUACACGGUGGAUGCCCUGGCAGUCAGAGGCGAUGAAGGGCGUGCUAAUCUGCGAUAAGCGCCGGUAAGGUGAUAUGAACCGUUAUAACCGGCGAUACCCGAAUGGGGAAACCCAGUGUGAUUCGUCACACUAUCAUUAACUGAAUCCAUAGGUUAAUGAGGCGAACCGGGGGAACUGAAACAUCUAAGUACCCCGAGGAAAAGAAAUCAACCGAGAUUCCCCCAGUAGCGGCGAGCGAACGGGGAGGAGCCCAGAGCCUGAAUCAGCAUGUGUGUUAGUGGAAGCGUCUGGAAAGGCGCGCGAUACAGGGUGACAGCCCCGUACACAAAAGCGCAUAUGCUGUGAGCUCGAUGAGUAGGGCGGGACACGUGGUAUCCUGUCUGAAUAUGGGGGGACCAUCCUCCAAGGCUAAAUACUCCUGACUGACCGAUAGUGAACCAGUACCGUGAGGGAAAGGCGAAAAGAACCCCGGCGAGGGGAGUGAAAAAGAACCUGAAACCGUGUACGUACAAGCAGUGGGAGCCCCACCACUAAGCCAGUGGUGAACUCCACAUACGCAUCCUUUGCUGAGGAGACGGUUAACGGAGCGAAAGCGACGUUCAACCUCAAAAGAAGCAGAGGGGGCUUAGUGGUGGGGUGACUGCGUACCUUUUGUAUAAUGGGUCAGCGACUUAUAUUCUGUAGCAAGGUUAACUGUAUAGGGGAGCCGGAGGGAAACCGAGUCUUAACCGGGCGUUAAGUUGCAGGGUAUAGACCCGAAACCCGGUGAUCUAGCCAUGGGCAGGUUGAAGGUUGGGUAACACUAACUGGAGGACCGAACCGACUAAUGUUGAAAAAUUAGCGGAUGACCUGUGGCUGGGGGUGAAAGGCCAAUCAAACCGGGAGAUAGCUGGUUCUCCCCGAAAGCUAUUUAGGUAGCGCCUCGUGAAUUCAUCUCCGGGGGUAGAGCACUGUUUCGGCUAGGGGGCCAUCCCGGCUUACCAACCCGAUGCAAACUGCGAAUACCGGAGAAUGUUAUCACGGGAGACACACGGCGGGUGCUAAUGUCCGUCGUGAAGAGGGAAACAACCCAGACCGCCAGCUAAGGUCCCAAAGUCAUGGUUAAGUGGGAAACGAUGUGGGAAGGCCCAGACAGCCAGGAUGUUGGCUUAGAAGCAGCCAUCAUUUAAAGAAAGCGUAAUAGCUCACUGGUCGAGUCGGCCUGCGCGGAAGAUGUAACGGGGCUAAACCAUGCACCGAAGCUGCGGCAGCGACACCGUGUGUUGUUGGGUAGGGGAGCGUUCUGUAAGCCUGUGAAGGUGUGCUGUGAGGCAUGCUGGAGGUAUCAGAAGUGCGAAUGCUGACAUAAGUAACGAUAAAG